UGAAGUAAAAGUCGUAACAAGGUCUCCGUUGGUGAACCAGCGGAGGGAUCAUU
rnacentral:rRNA from 1 species